GUUCAGUGCGCCCUGCAUACUGGGGACUGAGAACUUGGUUACUUCUCAGUGGUUUGGUUAGCCGGAUGGGUUUUUACGCUGUUCUAUUGGCCUUCCUAACUCCAAAGAGGUGGGGUUAUGUGGUUAGAGAAAAUCCACAUCUAGGACCCCCAAAAAUUCCCUCUAAUUUAUAUCAUUUAAUAAGGGACAGUAUAGGCAUUCAUGGUUCUGUAGCAGUGGACAUUUCUUAAGUGAUUUUUUUAGUGCUUUCUCGGGGUCUUUUACUAUAUCGUUUUCCAAAUUAGUUUUAUUAGUUUUGUGAUUAAAUAAAUUCAGUAGUGUAAAACGCUUUCUUUUGGGAAAGCUCCAAGCGAAUGAAGAUUUAUUGAGCAUCUACUAGACCUCCAGACACUGAAAUAAGUGUUUUAACCAACACUGCAUUACUUGAUCCUCACAACUGUAUGAUCCUGCACAUAGUGUGAUCAGCAUCCUACAGGUGCAAAUACAAAACUCAGAAGGGAGUAGGGGGUGCUGAGUGCUCUCCUUGUAGAGCAGAGUAAGCUGAGGUGACAUGCUUGGAUUAGAUCACAGAAAUUCACUGAAAGAUAAUGAAUUAUUGAUCAUAGCUGUAAUCAAACUCCCUACCACCAGAAACCAAGAAUUUCCAGGGGCCUGAUGGAAAUUCCUGCUUGUUUCAUGUCUUGUGAGGGGUCAUCUCCAUUGCCAGUUGUCAUCAGAACAUCGUUUUCUCUAGGGAUCAGUACACCAAAGUGACGAGGAGCUAGUGUGGGUAAGAUCCUCAGUUACUCACCUGAAACAAGUGGCAGGCAGCAGAUCACAGCUAGUCAGGGGCCAGGACAGCGGGAGGAGUUGUGUCUCUGACUGGGCCCUGCCUCAUCUGACAGGUUCUGCUGGCGCUUCUGAAGGGGCCCAAUAAAACCUCCGGUUCUGAACAAAUUGGAAAAUUUUUAAAUAUUAGAUGGGAGCCAAAUAGCACCUUUACUGCUAAAAGAAAAAAAAAAAGCUAAGUUAACAGUUGAAGCUUAGUGUGAGAGCCAGAUAGACCUGCUACCUGACCCCUAGAUCCACGCAGAUCUACCCGUUGUGGCAGCACUGGCCCCAGGCAGGCCUCCCCAUGUGUGGGAUAGCUCCCGUGAGGACAAAGAACGGACGUGAGCUGAGCAUAACCAGCUUAGUCAUCAUUUACCAAUCAGACAAAAACAGGCAAAGUGGGGCCAGCAGUUACAAUAUUGGAGCUCCCGCUACAUGGAAGGAAACCUCGACAGUAGUGAAUAAGUGAGGUGGAGGAAAAUGACUGGAAGUGUGGGCAGAGGUUCACCGGAGCCUCUCCCUGCCAGGCAUUAUGUCACCCCAUUUUCACUUUCUAGACCCAAAGGUGCGUUUGAAUAUGUAAUUUCAAGUUAGGUCCAUAUUAAUGCAGGUGUUAUAACUCUGGACAACAGUGCAUGAAGCUGUAGAUUACUGAAAUCUGGGUAAAGGUGCUACUAAUUACACAAAACAUCUCCAAAACCAUCUCCCCUGGUCUUGCUGGGGCCACCUUUUUCUUAAGAUUCCCCUUCAGGCUUCAGUUGAGUAUCCAUCAUUGCCUCCUGUCCAGGGCAUUCUCUCUUCUGGUUUCUGAGCUGCUGUCACUCAUCCUGCUGGCCUCCUGACAACCAUGGUGAUGCCCACCACAUGGUGGGCAGUGGGUCAUUGUGGAAAAGCAAACUCAGUUUACACCCUUGGCUAAAACAGAGAAAGGGGAGAGAUGGAGAAUAGCAAUAGGCUGUCAAAACUUAGUAAAUGAGCUCAGGUCUGGGUCUAGAGUAGGUGCUUCAUAAAUGCUUUCUUUCGAAAUGAACUCCACAACAAAACAGCCUGGGCUAUGGGAGAGGAAAGGACAGAGACUGGUUUCAGCUGUGGAGAUCUGGAAAAAUAUCAUGAGAUGUGCAGGGUCUUGAAAGAAGAACGAGAAUGUUGUAAGCCACAAAAUAGGUCUGAGAAGAAGUCAGCACCGUCAGACUAUUGAGAUCCUGCUUUGAGGUGUAUCCUCUUUGGCUCAAAUAGACUUUUUUUAAGUGAGCAUGAAGCCAUGCAGAAUUAGCAUAAAGCUCACAGAACUGAAGUUAUUUGCCUAAGGUCACCCAGGAGGUAAAGUGCCAAGCAUUAACUCAGUCAGAGCAAGUGCUGCCUCCCUGGCUUCGGCUCUUCUCUUAAAUGCCAGUGCAGGCCAACUUAACGCGCCACAAAAUAAGCCUGGUGAGAAGUGAACGCCAUCACUCUGUUGAAAUCUUGCUCCCAGGUAGGUGUGUCCUCUUUUUGGCUCAAAUAAAACUUACCCACAGAGCUUCACACAAGGUCUGGCACACAGCAGCACUCACUCAGCACACAUCACUGAAUGGGCUUAAUUCCUAAGUGAGAAGGCAGUCUCUUACAUUCUUUCUUCAGGAGUUAAACAGCAGACAGUGAAUUUAUUUUCUCCUGCCCCACUGGAACCCUCAGGGAAUAAUGUUUGGAUCAAUUUUUGCCAAAAAUAAAACUUUGCUUCCUCUUACCCUUUUCCCUAAAGAAAUUGGAAGUAACUUAGAGUGACCAUUUACUAGGAAUGGGACCAGGAAUGCCAGCAUAACAUACCACAACACUCCUGGUCUCCUGGAAGGUCAGGUCCACCCUGUAGAAACUGUUUUGAGAGUAUUUGUAGAAACUGUUUUUGAGAGUUUGCAUGACCUGUAUGAAAACCAGAUCUGCUCCUGGGACCUGGUCUUUCUAGACCAGAAGACAAUAUUCCUCAUAGACAUAGAGACAAUUCUAGGCUAAGAAGGAGGAUGUCUCAUAUCUUUUGAGCACAUAAUACAGA